GACGAACGCUGGCGGCGUGCUUAACACAUGCAAGUCGUACGCUGAAGCCUGCUUCGGUGGGUGGAUGAGUGGCGAACGGGUGAGUAACACGUGGGUAAUCUGCCUUGUACUCUGGGAUAAGCCCGGGAAACUGGGUCUAAUACCGGAUAGGACCAUUCCUCGCAUGGGGGGUGGUGGAAAGCUCCGGCGGUAUGAGUUGAGCCCGCGGCCUAUCAGCUUGUUGGUGGGGUGAUGGCCUACCAAGGCGGUGACGGGUAGCCGGCCUGAGAGGGUGACCGGCCACACUGGGACUGAGACACGGCCCAGACUCCUACGGGAGGCAGCAGUGGGGAAUAUUGCACAAUGGGCGCAAGCCUGAUGCAGCGACGCCGCGUGAGGGAUGACGGCCUUCGGGUUGUAAACCUCUUUCGCCAGGGACGAAGGGUGAUACUGACGGUACCUGGAGAAGAAGCACCGGCUAACUACGUGCCAGCCGCCGCGGUAAUAC
rnacentral:rRNA from 1 species